rnacentral:rRNA from 1 species
CAAUAGCGUAUAUUAAAGUUGUUGCAGUUAAAAAGCUCGUAGUUGGAUAUCUGGUACGGAUGACUUGGCCCGCCCUUUGGGUGUGCGCCGAGUUAACCGUGCCAUCCUUCUGAGAAGCGCUCGCUCCCUUAACUGGGCGCGGGUGUGACUCAGAUCUUUUACUUUGAAAAAAUUAGAGUGUUCAAAGCAGGCAAAUGCUUGAAUACAUUAGCAUGGAAUAAUGAAAUAGGACUCCGGUUCUAUUUUGUUGGUUUAUAGGACCGAAGUAAUGAUUAAUAGGGACAGUUGGGGGUGCUUGUAUUGGGCGGCCAGAGGUGAAAUUCUUGGAUUCGCCUAAGACAGACUAGUGCGAAAGCAUUCACCAAGGAUGUCUUCUUUAA